rnacentral:rRNA from 1 species
UGGGGGAUAUUGCACAAUGGGGGAAACCCUGAUGCAGCGACGCCGCGUGAGCGAAGAAGGCCUUCGGGUCGUAAAGCUCUGUUUCGAGGGAAGAAAAUGACGGUACCUCGGGAGAAAGCCCCGGCUAACUACGUGCCAGCAGCCGCGGUAAUACGUAGGGGGCAAGCGUUAUCCGGAAUCAUUGGGCGUAAAGGGUGCGUAGGUGGUCAAUAAAGUCAGAGGUGAAAGGCUAGGGCUCAACCGUAGUAAGCCUUUGAAACUUAUUGACUUGAGUGCAGGUGAGGAGAGUGGAAUUCCUAGUGUAGCGGUGAAAUGCGUAGAUAUUAGGAGGAACACCAGUGGCGAAGGCGACUCUCUGGACUGUAACUGACGCUGAGGCACGAAAGCGUGGGUAGCGAACAGG